CCUACGGGAGGCAGCAGUGGGGAAUAUUGCGCAAUGGGGGCAACCCUGACGCAGCAACGCCGCGUGAUUGAAGAAGGCCUUCGGGUUGUAAAGAUCUUUAAUCAGGGACGAAAAAUGACGGUAGCUGAAGAAUAAGCUCCGGCUAACUACGUGCCAGCAGCCGCGGUAAUACGUAGGGAGCAAGCGUUAUCCGGAUUUCCUGGGUGUAAAGGGCGUGUAGGCGGGCCUGUAAGUCAGAAGUGAAAUCUGGGGGCUUAACCCCCAAACUGCUGUUGAAACUGGGGGUCUUGAGUGAUGGAGAGGCAGGCGGAAUUCCCAGUGUAGCGGUGAAAGGCGUAGAUAUUACGAGGAACACCAGUGGCGAAGGCGGCCUGCUGGACAUUAACUGACGCUGAGGCGCGAAAGCGUGGGUAGCAAACAGGAUUAGAUACCCGAGUAGUC
rnacentral:rRNA from 1 species